GUGCAGCUGUAAUGGGUUAAGAGACCAUUUAUAGCCUAGUUUUCUGGCGGGGUUUUUGCCCCAGCGUACUUCAUUACAGGUGGGAAAACAACACGGAUUGUAUGUCCUUCAGUGUUCAUGUAGGCUGGGAAGUGGGAGGAGAAAAACAAAACAAAGCUGAAAAUGAGUGUUGAAUGGGCUUUCCCAGGAUUCCCAGGUAUCUGUGGUUACCUCUGUGUGAACUGUAGCAAAGUUCUCCAAAAAGGAGAGUGACUUCCACAGCUUAUUUGGAUUGCUUCUCCCCUGAUUUCAUAAUUUCAAAAUAAAACGGAAGGGAAGGAAGGGAAGGAGGGGAAG
rnacentral:lncRNA from 1 species